ensembl:misc_RNA Metazoa_SRP Metazoan signal recognition particle RNA
AUUAGGCAUGGUGGUGCAUGCCUGUAGUCCCAGCUACUCAGGAGGCUGAGGCAGGAGGAUUGCUUGAGCCCAGGAGUUUGAGGCUGCAGUGAGCUGUGAUCACACCACUGCACUCCAGCCUGGGCCACAGAGUGAGAUCCUGUCUCAA